UUAAGCGACUAAGCGUACACGGUGGAUGCCCUGGCAGUCAGAGGCGAUGAAGGACGUGCUAAUCUGCGAAAAGCGUCGGUAAGGUGAUAUGAACCGUUAUAACCGGCGAUGUCCGAAUGGGGAAACCCAGUGCAAUUCGUUGCACUAUCGUUAACUGAAUACAUAGGUUAACGAGGCGAACCGGGGGAACUGAAACAUCUAAGUACCCCGAGGAAAAGAAAUCAACCGAGAUUCCCCCAGUAGCGGCGAGCGAACGGGGAGCAGCCCAGAGUCUGAAUCAGCUUGUGUGUUAGUGGAACGGUCUGGAAAGUCCGACGGUACAGGGUGAUAGUCCCGUACACCAAAAUGCACAGGUUGUGAACUCGAAGAGUAGGGCGGGACACGUGGUAUCCUGUCUGAAUAUGGGGGGACCAUCCUCCAAGGCUAAAUACUCCUGACUGACCGAUAGUGAACCAGUACCGUGAGGGAAAGGCGAAAAGAACCCCGGCGAGGGGAGUGAAAAAGAACCUGAAACCGUGUACGUACAAGCAGUGGGAGCACCUUCGGGUGUGACUGCGUACCUUUUGUAUAAUGGGUCAGCGACUUAUAUUCUGUAGCAAGGUUAACCGUAUAGGGGAGCCGCAGGGAAACCGAGUCUUAACUGGGCGUUAAGUUGCAGGGUAUAGACCCGAAACCCGGUGAUCUAGCCAUGGGCAGGUUGAAGGUUGGGUAACACUAACUGGAGGACCGAACCGACUAAUGUUGAAAAAUUAGCGGAUGACUUGUGGCUGGGGGUGAAAGGCCAAUCAAACCGGGAGAUAGCUGGUUCUCCCCGAAAGCUAUUUAGGUAGCGCCUCGUGAACUCAUCUUCGGGGGUAGAGCACUGUUUCGGCUAGGGGGUCAUCCCGACUUACCAACCCGAUGCAAACUACGAAUACCGAAGAAUGUUAUCACGGGAGACACACGGCGGGUGCUAACGUCCGUCGUGAAGAGGGAAACAACCCAGACCGCCAGCUAAGGUCCCAAAGUCAUGGUUAAGUGGGAAACGAUGUGGGAAGGCACAGACAGCCAGGAUGUUGGCUUAGAAGCAGCCAUCAUUUAAAGAAAGCGUAAUAGCUCACUGGUCGAGUCGGCCUGCGCGGAAGAUGUAACGGGGCUAAACCAUGCACCGAAGCUGCGGCAGCGACACUAUGUGUUGUUGGGUAGGGGAGCGUUCUGUAAGCCUGCGAAGGUGACCUGUGAGGGUUGCUGGAGGUAUCAGAAGUGCGAAUGCUGACAUAAGUAACGAUAAAGCGGGUGAAAAGCCCGCUCGCCGGAAGACCAAGGGUUCCUGUCCAACGUUAAUCGGGGCAGGGUGAGUCGACCCCUAAGGCGAGGCCGAAAGGCGUAGUCGAUGGGAAACAGGUUAAUAUUCCUGUACUUGGUGUUACUGCGAAGGGGGGACGGAGAAGGCUAUGUUAGCCGGGCGACGGUUGUCCCGGUUUAAGCAUGUAGGCUGGUUGUCCAGGCAAAUCCGGAUAAUCAAGGCUGAGGUGUGAUGACGAGGCACUACGGUGCUGAAGUAACAAAUGCCCUGCUUCCAGGAAAAGCCUCUAAGCAUCAGGUAACAUCAAAUCGUACCCCAAACCGACACAGGUGGUCAGGUAGAGAAUACCAAGGCGCUUGAGAGAACUCGGGUGAAGGAACUAGGCAAAAUGGUGCCGUAACUUCGGGAGAAGGCACGCUGGUGUGUAGGUGAAGUCCCUGCGGAUGGAGCUGAGACCAGUCGAAGAUACCAGCUGGCUGCAACUGUUUAUUAAAAACACAGCACUGUGCAAACACGAAAGUGGACGUAUACGGUGUGACGCCUGCCCGGUGCCGGAAGGUUAAUUGAUGGGGUUAUCCGUAAGGAGAAGCUCUUGAUCGAAGCCCCGGUAAACGGCGGCCGUAACUAUAACGGUCCUAAGGUAGCGAAAUUCCUUGUCGGGUAAGUUCCGACCUGCACGAAUGGCGUAAUGAUGGCCAGGCUGUCUCCACCCGAGACUCAGUGAAAUUGAACUCGCUGUGAAGAUGCAGUGUACCCGCGGCAAGACGGAAAGACCCCGUGAACCUUUACUAUAGCUUGACACUGAACAUUGAGCCUUGAUGUGUAGGAUAGGUGGGAGGCUUUGAAGCGUGGACGCCAGUCUGCGUGGAGCCAACCUUGAAAUACCACCCUUUAAUGUUUGAUGUUCUAACGUUGGCCCCUGACCGGGGUUGCGGACAGUGUCUGGUGGGUAGUUUGACUGGGGCGGUCUCCUCCCAAAGCGUAACGGAGGAGCACGAAGGUUAGCUAAUCCUGGUCGGACAUCAGGAGGUUAGUGCAAUGGCAUAAGCUAGCUUGACUGCGAGCGUGACGGCGCGAGCAGGUGCGAAAGCAGGUCAUAGUGAUCCGGUGGUUCUGAAUGGAAGGGCCAUCGCUCAACGGAUAAAAGGUACUCCGGGGAUAACAGGCUGAUACCGCCCAAGAGUUCAUAUCGACGGCGGUGUUUGGCACCUCGAUGUCGGCUCAUCACAUCCUGGGGCUGAAGUAGGUCCCAAGGGUAUGGCUGUUCGCCAUUUAAAGUGGUACGCGAGCUGGGUUUAGAACGUCGUGAGACAGUUCGGUCCCUAUCUGCCGUGGGCGCUGGAGAAUUGAGGGGGGCUGCUCCUAGUACGAGAGGACCGGAGUGGACGCAUCACUGGUGUUCGGGUUGUCAUGCCAAUGGCACUGCCCGGUAGCUAAAUGCGGAAGAGAUAAGUGCUGAAAGCAUCUAAGCACGAAACUUGCCCCGAGAUGAGUUCUCCCUGAGACUUUAAGUCUCCUGAAGGAACGUUGAAGACGACGACGUUGAUAGGCCGGGUGUGUAAGCGCAGCGAUGGUUUGAGCUAACCGGUACUAAUGAACCGUGAGGCUUAACCUU
rnacentral:rRNA from 1 species